GAACAUCGAGUGAAACUAAGAUCUUUCAGAAUCGAGUUCAGCUUAAUGUUCCAGGCCCUAGGUGCCUGUCUUAAACCGUAGAGAGCUUUAUGUAGCCUGUAGACUUUCUCUUCUUUGCCUUUGACUACGAACCCUUCAGGUUGAGUCACAUAGACUUCCUCUUUCAGCUCCCCGUGUAAGAAUGUUGUCUUGACAUCAAGAUGGUGAAUUUCCCAUCCCUUUGAAGCUGCAAUAGCAAUGACUAAUCUGAUAGUUUCUACACGAGCUACAGGUGUAUUGCUAAAGAUUUGAUUGAUUAAUAAGAGAAGGACUUUUUGUUAAAGAGUUUGUGGUUCAACAAUUGGUAUUAGAGCGCGGUUGACGAGAAAUCUGCAAGAAAGAUCGAAAUACCCUUUGAAUGAUGAAUGAGUGAUGAAUGGGUAUCCUAUGAGUUAGGAAUGGGAGGUGUGUGUGGCAGAGAUCAAGUCAAAAGAUCAUGGAAGUCAGUUGUGGGACACGAGAUGAAUGUGAUCCUUAGUUUGAAGGGGAGAAUGUGAGAUAACAAUCUAAGUCCCACAUUGGAGAAUUAGACAAGGAGUUUCUAAUAUAUAAAGAGAUGUCCAACUCUAAUAGUACAAGGCCUUUUGGGAAGGAAACCAAAAGUAAAUCCAUGCGGGCCAGCCUCUAAAGCCCAAAAUGGACAAUAUCGUACUAAUCGGACAAUAUAGAGUUGGACACGUGGUUUCACAAUCCCAACAUAUAUCAUAUCAUUUUAUUCCAAAAUGAAUAACCAUGUUAGUCUAAGUCAAAGUCAAAACAAAUUGUCUGAGUCAACAAUAGAUAUCGCCGAGCGUAGGAUACACAGAGACGUAUGCGAAGUCAAAUAUAUAAACGGAAACUAACCAUAAAUCAAAGCAAAAAUUCUGUGUUAGUACAUUUUGCCGAGUAUAGUGUACACAUAGAGAAGAUUAUAUAUAUAUGUGUGUGUGUUAAAAUACAAACUAUUCAGUUUCAUAAGCAAAAUCGAGGAGAAGAAGAAAAAACGCAAUACAAAUUGCAACAAAAUAAUUUAAUGGCUUCAUCAAAGACAUGUUUUUUCCUUGUGUUCUUAUGUCUCGUUGUUCUCUUGAUCCCAAAAUCUGCACAAGCGGAAGAUGGCGGAAGUCAUUUGGAAAUUGUGCAAGGUCCCUGCUCGAAAUUUCCAGACUGCAAUCAACAAUGCACUGACUUAAGAUAUCCAGGUGGAGGAAAAUGCAUCAAAGUGGGUCGAUAUGUCACUUAUUUGAUGUGUGCCUGUUUUGCAUAAUCUUAUAUGAUAAUAAAAUAAUAUGUUUAAGAUAUUGAGCGAGUGGUAAAAUAUUAAUAAAAAUGUUACAAAUA